rnacentral:lncRNA from 1 species
CCUGCCUCUCCCCCUCCUCGAGGUUCCUGCCUGGAUUCCCCUCCCUGGACUGCCAUCCACCUCAGUGCUUCCUGUGUCCUAGGAAGCAACACUCCGUCAUUGUGGGGACCUCUGGACAGUUAAGUUCCCUUUAGAAAUGUAAAUCAUACCCCAAAAUACAAGGUUUCCAGGGGCGACAAAGGAGGCUGAGGGAGGAGGAUUGCAUGUCUGCAGCUAGUCUGGGCCACUCAACGAGACCCUGUCUCAAACUAAAAUAAAAAGGACUGGGGUGUGACUCAGGGGCAGAGUGACAGAGUGCUUCCUACCACAGGUGGGACUUGGGUUUCCAUCCUCCGCACUGGAAAUAAAGCUAGGAGUCAGGCAGAGAGCCCUAAAGAAUACUUGACGUCUGGUGGCAGUGGAGCAGGGGGCUCAAGGGGAGCACUAGGGGCUGGGCCAGGGGGCUCAAGGUAGCACUAGGGGCUAGGCCAGGGGAGUUCAAGGCCAGCACUAGGGGCUGGGCCAAGGGGGCUCAAGGUAGCACUAGGG